rnacentral:rRNA from 1 species
GGGAGCCCUAGCACAGGUGCUGCAUGGCCGUCGUCAGCUCGUGCCGUGAGGUGUUGGGUUAAGUCCCGCAACGAGCGCAACCCCGCCGUUAGUUGCCAGCGGUUCGGCCGGGCACUCUAACGGGACUGCCCGCGAAAGCGGGAGGAAGAGGGACGACGUCUGGUCAGCAUGGCCCUUACGGCCUGGGCGACACACGUGCUACAAUGCCCACUACAAAGCGAUGCCACCCGGCAACGGGGAGCUAAUCGCAAAAAGGUGGGCCCAGUUCGGAUUGGGGUCUGCAACCCGACCCCAUGAAGCCGGAAUCGCUAGUAAUCGCGGAUCAGCCAUGCCGCGGUGAAUACGUUCCCGGGCCUU